AGUGUCGCUGUCAAAAGAAUUACAUCACCCUACAGUAUGCAUCGCAAGAAACCAUGUGUCAGCCUAUCAGUUAACGGUGCAGAGUUGAUGUGGGAGAGACUCUGGCUCUGGGCAUGUCUGUUGUGUAAUUUGGAUGAAGUGGACGUUACAGACAGACAGAUGUAAAAAGGGAGUCACAAGCUGAAGAAUGCAGGCAUUUUCUCAAAGCCGGGAAAGGCAAGGAAACAGAUUGACCCCUGAGGGUUCCGGGAAGGAAUGCAGACCUGCUUGAUUUCAGCCUGGUAGAGUUGCCAGGCAACCAUCACGUUAAAAUACACAGGACUAUCAUUGUGGAUCCAUCUUCUCUUGUAACUCCUUUGCUGCCAAAAUGAUGAUGUAUGGAUCCAUCUUCCAGGCACUCUUACUGGAUAAAAAUCUUCUCUUGUAGAAACUGCAGAAUACUCUGGAGGUG